rnacentral:rRNA from 1 species
UAGGGAAUCUACCGCAAUGGACGCAAGUCUGACGGAGCAACGCCGCGUGAGUGAAGAAGGAUUUCGGUUCGUAAAACUCUGUUGUUAGAGAAGAACAGCGCAUAGAGUAACUGUUAUGCGUGUGACGGUAUCUAACCAGAAAGCCACGGCUAACUACGUGCCAGCAGCCGCGGUAAUACGUAGGUGGCAAGCGUUGUCCGGAUUUAUUGGGCGUAAAGCGAGCGCAGGCGGUCAAUUAAGUCUGAUGUGAAAGCCCCCGGCUCAACCGGGGAGGGUCAUUGGAAACUGGUUGACUUGAGUGCAGAAGAGGAGAGUGGAAUUCCAUGUGUAGCGGUGAAAUGCGUAGAUAUAUGGAGGAACACCAGUGGCGAAGGCGACUCUCUGGUCUGUAACUGACGCUGAGGUUCGAAAGCGUGGGUAGCGAACAGG